UUCCUCUUCAUCUGUAUUUUUAUAGGUUUAUUUACAUCUUAAGCCAUUAUGGUAUUGCCUUAAGAUCUCUUAUGGGAUUAACUAAGAAACUUGAACUGGUAGUUUACUGUGCGUAUUGUGUCAUCUGCAUAAUUGGAUUAUGUUUUUAGAGAGAGAUCUGCAUAUGAUGGAGUUAUUUUGAAGCUAAACCAACAGAAGCUUAUAAAUGCUGUACUGCUGUCUCAACAUCUUUACUUGAAAAUCAAAUAUGUGACUAUGAGGUUACUGUUUGUUACAUUUCUUUCGUGAAUCUCCUGCCUUCCAUGCCUGUGCUUUACACCAUAAUAACCUGUACGGCAACUAUCUUUUUGACGUUAUUUGAAGAAAAAAGGCAGGUAGACAUGAUCUUCUGGUAAUGUCAAAAAUCUUAAUGAAUACCAAGUUGAUGAGUCAUCAUUUGAUGGAAGGUAACGGGAUUAAACAAGGAAACUUAGACCUGAAUUUUGCUACCAAUAUGCUUCUUCUGCAGUUAAUGAUUUGUAGCAUUUGCAACAAAUUUUAUUAGUAAUUAUCUUUCUCAAUAAUUUUUUUUAUUAGUAAUUAUCCCAAGCAUCAUAGUAUAUCUGAAUUUAAUAUCACUAAGGGGUCGUUUGGUAGAGUGUAUUAAAAAAAUAAUGCAUGCAUUAACCUUGUGUAUUACUAAUACCUUGUUUGGUACUCUUUUCCAACCUAUGUAUAACUAAUGCAAACAUUACUUAUACACUCUAUUGUGCAUUAUGGUCUAUAUUGCUAAUACCAUGGAUUUCUAGGUAUUAGCAAUGCAAUGCUUUUAAUGUAUGCAUUAACUCAAUUAAAGACCCAAUUGCCCCUCAAUACCUUUUUUUAUAUCUUUUCCACCAUAAGUGUAGGGCAUCUUUGUAAAUAAUUUUUUUAAUGCAUGCAUUCUAUAUUUCUAUUUUUAAUGCAUCAAACCAAACAAUGAAUAAAAAUAAUUCAUGUAUAAUUAAUGCAAUCAUAACUAAUACAUGCAUUGCUAAUGCAAGCAUUACUAAUACAUUCUAUUAAUACACUGUACCAAACGACCCUAAGUAUACCACAACCACAACACAAAAUGCUCCUUCUAGUUUCCUGUAUUGAAGUUACGUAUUUCAAAAGAAAAAAAAAUCCUCCUUCUAGUUUCCUGUAUUCUAUUUUAUGUAUUCAUAUGACUCGACUGGUUCAGUAACAAUUGUCCUGCAUGUGGCUUUCUGUCAGCAGUACUCUCUAGCCUGCGAUACCUGUUAUUUGUAGUCUUAGAUUACCUAUGUGGACUGAUUGACAUGCAUAGGUGGAGAAGAAGUCCCUCUUCAAUAUGUAACAAGCCAAAUGUUUUAAUGUUUCACAAAUAGUGAUAUUGUCUGGUUAUGUAAAAUAUGCAAAGUAAUAUCAACAGCACCGAUGACAUAUCUCAUCAUUUUGCCCACAUAAUGCAAAUAUCUUGAGGAAGCAUUUCAUGUUUUCUUGGCUUUAGCUUUAAAAUAUGGAGCCUUUCAUAAUUGAUGAUUAUCUUUGAGUGCUGGCUUAGAAGGAGCUUCUCUUCUGAAGAACAGGAGUGUUUUUUAAUAUAUAACUGAGAGUAGUAAUUCUAACAAAAAUGAAAGGAUUAACAUGUUAACACUUAAAACAGUCGGUCUUUCUGUUCAUCAUUUUUCUGUAAGUUGAUAAAUUUCUGCUUAAAUUAACUUUUGAAGCAUGAAAAUACAGGAAGCGUAACUCCUUAAAUUACUUUCUCGCAGAAGCUAUUCAAUACUGACCACAAAAGGUUGAAAUAUGUCUCUUUGGCUUCUUUAGGGUGCUUCCAUUGUUCCGUCAGAUUAGUUUUCUAGACUGUUGGUUUGUAGCCAAAAUUGAUCUAGUGAACCGAUCAGCUCUUAAAAUAUAAAGUUAAAAGUGAAUCUCCUCUGAAAGAAAUAUAAAGUUAAAAGUGAAUCUCCUCUGAAA